UGCCCCAUGGCUGAGUUGGUUACAGCGUCCGACUGUUACUACAAACGUAUUCAUUAGAUGUUGUACGGUGCAUCGGAAGGUCGAGAGUUCGAGCCUCUCUGGGGCAG